CAUGCAUAGCUCUACUCUCUAGCUCUUCCGCUCGCCAUUGUCGUCUAAAGAUCUCCAUCGGUGAUUUCAUUGCAAAUUAGGUGAUUUCAUCGGUGUCUUGUGAGAAUAGAAGUGGAUUGGCUAACUGAGAAGAUGCGUAGCAACAAACUUUACUGUCUCUUCUAUGCAUGGAGAUAUGCCCCAGAAGGAAAGAGAUGCAAUAAUGGCCGAGUUCCGUGCUGGUGAACCCGUGUUCUGAUCACAACAGAUGUUUGGGCUCAAGGGUU